CUCCGCCUCCUCAGCGAUUGCCAUCUGACAAGAUCUCCAAAUCAAAGUGAUAAAUCGCUCCAAACUUUUUUUGGCGGCGCUGAGAUGUUGGAGGGGCGUCUAGCGCGCAUGUGCGAAGGUGCCCAAACUGACAAUGCUAGAGAGAUAGCGAGUGUGGAUUGAGAGAAAGGGAGAGAGGGAGGGAGAGAGAGUGAAAGAGGGAAAGACAGAGUGAGUGUGUGGAAGUGUGUGUGUGAGUGUGUGUGUGUGUGUGUGAGAGAGAGAGAGAGAGAGAGAGAGAGAGAGAGAGAAGAGGAGAGGAGAGAGGGAGGGAGCGAGAGGGAGAGCAAAAGAAGGAAAAGAUCCAAGAAAAAAAAAAACCCAACCACACACCAGCGGCUGCAGGACUGGGCACAGCAUGAGAUCCAAAGGCAGGGCAAGGAAACUGGCCACAAGUAGGUGCAAUAUCCCUUUUC
rnacentral:lncRNA from 1 species